rnacentral:misc_RNA from 1 species
UCGGACACCCAAGAACUCACGACAGAC